rnacentral:rRNA from 1 species
CGAUUCCGGAGAGGGAGCCUGAGAAACGGCUACCACAUCCAAGGAAGGCAGCAGGCGCGCAAAUUACCCAAUCCCGAUACGGGGAGGUAGUGACAAUAAAUAACAAUACAGGGCUCUUAUGGGUCUUGUAAUUGGAAUGAGUACAAUUUAAAUCCCUUAACGAGGAACAAUUGGAGGGCAAGUCUGGUGCCAGCAGCCGCGGUAAUUCCAGCUCCAAUAGCGUAUAUUAAAGUUGUUGCAGUUAAAAAGCUCGUAGUUGAAUUUCGGAGUUCUACCGUUGGUCGGGCAAUAGUCUGUACUGGCGUGUAGAAUUUCUACCUUCUGGGGAACCAUCAUGUUAUUUAUUUAGCGUGGUGGGAAACCAGGACCUUUACCUUGAAAAAAUUAGAGUGUUCAAAGCAGGCUUACGUCUGAAUACAUUAGCAUGGAAUAAUAAAAUAGGACGGUGGUCCUGUUUUGUUGGUUUCUGAAUCACCGUAAUGAUUAAUAGGGAUAGUUGGGGGCAUUAGUAUUCAAUUGUCAGAGGUGAAAUUCUUGGAUUUAUUGAAGACUAACUUCUGCGAAAGCAUUUGCCAAGGAUGUUUUCAUUAAUCAAGAACGAAAGUUAGGGGAUCGAAGACGAUCAGAUACCGUCGUAGUCUUAACCAUAAACUAUGCCGACUAGGGAUCGGACGAUGUUAAUUUCUACUGAC